rnacentral:rRNA from 1 species
AUUUUGGACAAUGGGCGCAAGCCUGAUCCAGCCAUGCCGCGUGAGUGAAGAAGGCCUUCGGGUUGUAAAGCUCUUUCGGCGGGGACGAAAAGGUCCGUGUUAACACCACGGAUCCAUGACGGUACCCGCAGAAGAAGCACCGGCUAACUACGUGCCAGCAGCCGCGGUAAUACGUAGGGUGCAGGCGUUAAUCGGAAUUACUGGGCGUAAAGCGUGCGCAGGCGGUUUGUUAAGACAGAUGUGAAAUCCCCGGGCUUAACCUGGGAACUGCGUUUGUUACUGGCAAGCUUGAGUGCGGCAGAGGGGGGUGGAAUUCCACGUGUAGCAGUGAAAUGCGUAGAGAUGUGGAGGAACACCGAUGGCGAAGGCAGCCCCCUGGGUCGACACUGACGCUCAUGCACGAAAGCGUGGGGAGCAAACAGG